rnacentral:rRNA from 1 species
CCUACGGGGGGCAGCAGUGGGGGAUAUUGCACAAUGGGGGAAGCCCUGAUGCAGCGACGCCGCGUGGGUGAAGAAGCGCCUCGGCGCGUAAAGCCCUGUCAGCAGGGAAGAAAAUGACGGUACCUGAAGAAGAAGCCCCGGCUAACUACGUGCCAGCAGCCGCGGUAAUACGUAGGGGGCAAGCGUUAUCCGGAUUUACUGGGUGUAAAGGGGGCGCAGACGGCGAUGCAAGCCAGGAGUGAAAGCCCGGGGCCCAACCCCGGGACUGCUCUUGGAACUGCGUGGCUAGAGUGCAGGCGGGGCAG